GUUGUCAAAAGCCAAAGGAGGAGCGGUAAUGGAAGAAGAAGAAGAAAGGGAAGCUGAGAAAGAAAGUAAAGUGGUUCACAGGGAAAGUACUAUGUCUGAGGCCACAGUGUGCAUGCUUAUGGACAGGUUUGCACCUUGGUAGUGAUCUAGAUCAAAAUAAAUUAUGUAAAAUAAUUGGUACCUUGUUUUGUACAUGCAAAAUUAAUGCAAAUGUUUCUUAUGCUUGUAAUAUAUUUUGUUGUUUAGAUAUGGGGGGGAUGUUGAGAUGGUUAAUGGGUUUUGCUCAAGAUGGUGAAGAUUUGUUGUUUGACCCAAGAGGCAAUUGUAAUUAACCCACAAAAUUAAAUUGCAAUUGCAUUCCUGAAGAAUGGAGAUAUGUCAGAAUGGAG
rnacentral:misc_RNA from 1 species